rnacentral:tRNA from 1 species
GGCCUCGCAGCUCAGCUGGUAGAGCAUGCGCUAUACAAAAGCGUAGGCGGCGUCCAUGCGUGGUUUCGAAUCCCACCGAGGUUA